rnacentral:lncRNA from 1 species
AAAAAAAGAAAAAGAAAAAAAAAUACAAAUUACAUGACAUAAUAUGUUCUCUUUUUUCUAUCGGUAUAAUCUGUGACACAAUACACAUGAUACAUGCAAUAUAAUCACUACUAUUCUAACGAGGUAAAAAAAAUUACAUAUUGACUAGAAUAUAUGUAAAAUAAUUAUUUCAUUUUAUCAGUAUAUAAAAAAAAAAACUUAUACACCCUUACUAUGAUUACCCCAGACUGACAUUCAGACUUUAACAUUUGAUAUAUAUAUACAUGUUUGAUGAAAUAUGACAAACAGUGUCCAUAUUACAUGUCACAUGGUGGGUUAGAGUGCUUAUAAUGCACAUAACAUGAUAAGUGAAUAUAUUAAAAGAUCUAACAAUACUUGUGCAAAUUUCAUGAUUUAAAACUGUUAUUCCUUUUUCAGGUCAUUGAGAAGAAGAGCUCUAUUAAAAAUCAUUGUCAAAAGACACAAGAAAAGCUCGAUAUUUUUUAAAAUUAACAAUACACAAUGUCAGUUACAUUAUGUUCAUUAUUCGAAAUUGCCAAAAUUAACUAUUAGUUUCUCAAGGAAAUUCUUUGUUGUCAGCACAGUUGUUAGUUGAAAUUCAAAAACAACUUAAAAAAACAUACCAGUAGUUUCAAAAAACUAUUAUACCUGGAUAAAGACAGGAAGAAAAUGCCAUCAAAAAUGGAUCAAA